rnacentral:rRNA from 1 species
UACGUAGGGGCUAGCGUUAUCCGGAAUUACUGGGCGUAAAGGGUGCGUAGGUGGUUUCUUAAGUCAGAGGUGAAAGGCUACGGCUCAACCGUAGUAAGCCUUUGAAACUGGGAAACUUGAGUGCAGGAGAGGAGAGUGGAAUUCCUAGUGUAGCGGUGAAAUGCGUAGAUAUUAGGAGGAACACCAGUAGCGAAGGCGGCUCUCUGGACUGUAACUGACGCUGAGGCACGAAAGCGUGGGGAGCAAACAGGAUUAGAUACCCCUGUAGUCCCUGAGCGGG